rnacentral:rRNA from 1 species
UACAGGGGGGCAAGCGUUGUUCGGAAUUACUGGGCGUAAAGGGUUCGUAGGUGGCUCACUAAGUCACACGUGAAAUCCCUCAGCUUAACUGGGGAACUGCGUGUGAAACUGGAGAGCUUGAGGGUAGGAGAGGAAUGCAGAAUUCCAGGUGUAGCGGUGAAAUGCGUAGAUAUCUGGAGGAAUACCGGUGGCGAAGGCGGCAUUCUGGACUAUUUCUGACACUGAUGAACGAAAGCCAGGGGAGCAAACGGG